UGUAGUCAUAUUUCUAUACAUAUAGUUAGGUUACCAUGCCGUCUCUUGUUUCUCAACAUCUCUCCAAAACAAAACAUAAUGCUCAUAUUUUUCUCAACAUCUAUCAACCUCAAUUUCCCCACAAGUUCAUAGGAAGGAGACACUGUUGCGGCAGACGGUACUUCUCUGAGUCCAAAUGGAAGGCUCCAAGCCAGAGUAUCUCGGGGACCCCUAGUAAUUUUGCAUCAAAGGCCAUUUGCUUGCAUACAAAAGAAUUGACUUUAUCAGAAGUUUUCAAUCCUCAAUAUUUGCAGUCUUCCUUCCUACUUAGUUCAUAUGUUAGUUAAGUUCGUAAACUAUACAUAACUAGUUUACAGAUUGAUCAAGAAGCCUAACCAUGGAACCAAACCGAUACAAAAGGGAAUAGACAAAAGGGAAAAGAAAGCACAAACAGCAUAAGUUGCUGAACAAUUACUAGAACACUAAGCAAAACAUCUGAAACGGAUUCGGCGAACCAGGCAUUCAGUAACUGGUACCUUGCAUAAAUCUCUUGUACAUUUAUGAUAGAGUUCAAUUGUCUAUUAAUGUCGUUAUGAGGUUGAUAGUUUGACAACAUAACAUCCACAAAUCUUUG